GAUGAACGCUGGCGGCGUGCCUAAUACAUGCAAGUCGAGCGAACAGACGAGGAGCUUGCUCCUCUGACGUUAGCGGCGGACGGGUGAGUAACACGUGGAUAACCUACCUAUAAGACUGGGAUAACUUCGGGAAACCGGAGCUAAUACCGGAUAAUAUUUUGAACCGCAUGGUUCAAUAGUGAAAGACGGUUUUGCUGUCACUUAUAGAUGGAUCCGCGCCGCAUUAGCUAGUUGGUAAGGUAACGGCUUACCAAGGCAACGAUGCAUAGCCGACCUGAGAGGGGGAUCGGCCACACUGGAACUGAGACACGGUCCAGACUCCUACGGGAGGCAGCAGUAGGGAAUCUUCCGCAAUGGGCGAAAGCCUGACGGAGCAACGCCGCGUGAGUGAUGAAGGUCUUCGGAUCGUAAAACUCUGUUAUUAGGGAAGAACAAAUGUGUAAGUAACUAUGCACGUCUUGACGGUACCUAAUCAGAAAGCCACGGCUAACUACGUG
rnacentral:rRNA from 1 species